CUACGGAGGGUCCAAGCGUUAUCGGGAAUCAUUGGGUUUAAAGGGUCCGCAGGCGGUCAAUUAAGUCAGAGGUGAAAGCCCAUCGCUCAACGAUGGAACUGCCUUUGAUACUGGUUGACUUGAGUUAUACGGAAGUAGAUAGAAUAAGUAGUGUAGCGGUGAAAUGCAUAGAUAUUACUUAGAAUACCGAUUGCGAAGGCAGUCUACUACGUAUAUACUGACGCUGAGGGACGAAAGCGUGGGGAGCGAACAGGAUUAGAAACCCUAGUAGUCC
rnacentral:rRNA from 1 species